CUCUUCCAGGUCUGUGGUUGCGGAGGCACCGAUCUGCCUCCUAGUCCAUGACAGACGAGGUCAAAGGGAUCCACGUAAGCCAGCGUGUGGGCAUGCUGGCGAUCAUGGCUCGUCCUAGAAGCAAGUCGCACUGCCUGAUCGGCUUUGGGGCAAAGAGCCCCACAGGCAAGAGGGCUUUGAGUGGGGGUGCCUGAGCAUCCGAAGCGGAGGCCCCGGUGCGCGGGUGUGGGGCCAAAGACCAGGUCAGCUGGAAGAG
rnacentral:ncRNA from 1 species